GGUGAGUAAUGUCUGGGAAACUGCCUGAUGGAGGGGGAUAACUACUGGAAACGGUAGCUAAUACCGCAUAACGUCUACGGACCAAAGUGGGGGACCUUCGGGCCUCAUGCCAUCAGAUGUGCCCAGAUGGGAUUAGCUAGUAGGUGGGGUAAUGGCUCACCUAGGCGACGAUCCCUAGCUGGUCUGAGAGGAUGACCAGCCACACUGGAACUGAGACACGGUCCAGACUCCUACGGGAGGCAGCAGUGGGGAAUAUUGCACAAUGGGCGCAAGCCUGAUGCAGCCAUGCCGCGUGUGUGAAGAAGGCCUUCGGGUUGUAAAGCACUUUCAGCGAGGAGGAAGGGUUCAGUGUUAAUAGCACUGNNNAUUGACGUUACUCGCAGAAGAAGCACCGGCUAACUCCGUGCCAGCAGCCGCGGUAAUACGGAGGGUGCAAGCGUUAAUCGGAAUUACUGGGCGUAAAGCGCACGCAGGCGGUUUGUUAAGUCAGAUGUGAAAUCCCCGCGCUUAACGUGGGA
rnacentral:rRNA from 1 species